AUUUUAUCCAAUGACUAAGAUUUCAGUUUUUCAUAACCAGUCACCGGGAUGAAGAUAGAAGAUGCCCCUUCACCGCCUGAAUGAAGACUUUUCGCCGCCUGGAUCUUGAUGAAUGUCCGGACUUCAAUAACUGACAUUUGUCAUGAAAAC